rnacentral:rRNA from 1 species
AUUGAACGCUGGCGGCAGGCCUAACACAUGCAAGUCGAGCGGUAGAGAGAAGCUUGCUUCUCUUGAGAGCGGCGGACGGGUGAGUAAUGCCUAGGAAUCUGCCUGGUAGUGGGGGAUAACGUUCGGAAACGGACGCUAAUACCGCAUACGUCCUACGGGAGAAAGCAGGGGACCUUCGGGCCUUGCGCUAUCAGAUGAGCCUAGGUCGGAUUAGCUAGUUGGUGGGGUAAUGGCUCACCAAGGCGACGAUCCGUAACUGGUCUGAGAGGAUGAUCAGUCACACUGGAACUGAGACACGGUCCAGACUCCUACGGGAGGCAGCAGUGGGGAACAUUGGACAAUGGGCGAAAGCCUGAUCCAGCCAUGCCGCGUGUGUGAAGAAGGUCUUCGGAUUGUAAAGCACUUUAAGUUGGGAGGAAGGGCAGUAAAUUAAUACUUUGCUGUUUUGACGUUACCGACAGAAUAAGCACCGGCUAACUCUGUGCCAGCAGCCGCAGUAA